GCGCGGGUGGCGGAACUGGUAGACGCGCAAGCUUGAGGGGCUUGUGGGAUUUUUCUCCCGUGGAGGUUCAAGUCCUCUCCCGCGCACCA
rnacentral:tRNA from 2 species